rnacentral:rRNA from 1 species
UACAGAGGGUGCAAGCGUUAAUCGGAUUUACUGGGCGUAAAGCGCGCGUAGGCGGCUAAUUAAGUCAAAUGUGAAAUCCCCGAGCUUAACUUGGGAAUUUGCAUUCGAUACUGGUUAGCUAGAGUGUGGGAGAGGAUGGUAGAAUUCCAGGUGUAGCGGUGAAAUGCGUAGAGAUCUGGAGGAAUACCGAUGGCGAAGGCAGCCAUCUGGCCUAACACUGACGCUGAGGUGCGAAAGCAUGGGGAGCAAACAGG